ACUCCUGCGGGAGGCAGCAGUGGGGAAUUUUGGACAAUGGGCGAAAGCCUGAUCCAGCAAUGCCGCGUGAGUGAAGAAGGCCUUCGGGUUGUAAAGCUCUUUUGUCAGGGAAGAAACGGUGAAAGCUAAUAUCUUUUGCUAAUGACGGUACCUGAAGAAUAAGCACCGGCUAACUACGUGCCAGCAGCCGCGGUAAUACGUAGGGUGCAAGCGUUAAUCGGAAUUACUGGGCGUAAAGCGUGCGCAGGCGGUUUUGUAAGUCUGAUGUGAAAUCCCCGGGCUCAACCUGGGAAUUGCAUUGGAGACUGCAAGGCUAGAAUCUGGCAGAGGGGGGUAGAAUUCCACGUGUAGCAGUGAAAUGCGUAGAUAUGUGGAGGAACACCGAUGGCGAAGGCAGCCCCCUGGGUCAAGAUUGACGCUCAUGCACGAAAGCGUGGGGAGCAAACAGGAUUAGAUACCCUGGUAGUCCCA
rnacentral:rRNA from 1 species